rnacentral:rRNA from 1 species
AGUGAACGCUGGCGGUAGGCCUAACACAUGCAAGUCGAACGGCAGCACAGUAAGAGCUUGCUCUUACGGGUGGCGAGUGGCGGACGGGUGAGGAAUACAUCGGAAUCUACUUUUUCGUGGGGGAUAACGUAGGGAAACUUACGCUAAUACCGCAUACGACCUACGGGUGAAAGCAGGGGAUCUUCGGACCUUGCGCGAUUGAAUGAGCCGAUGUCGGAUUAGCUAGUUGGCGGGGUAAAGGCCCACCAAGGCGACGAUCCGUAGCUGGUCUGAGAGGAUGGUCAGCCACACUGGAAGUGAGACACGGUCCAGACUCCUACGGGAGGCAGCAGUGGGGAAUAUUGGACAAUGGGCGCAAGCCUGAUCCAGCCAUACCGCGUGGGUGAAGAAGGCCUUCGGGUUGUAAAGCCCUUUUGUUGGGAAAGAAAAGCAGCAGGUUAAUACCCCGCUGUUCUGACGGUACCCAAAGAAUAAGCACCGGCUAACUUCGUG